GAUGAACGCUGGCGGCGUGCCUAAUACAUGCAAGUCGAGCGGCAGCACAAUAAGCUCUUGUUCUUACUGUUAGCGAGGGGCGGGCGGGUGAGGCAUGCAUCAGCUACUUCUUUGUCUUGGGUGACAACGGGAGGCAAUAUAUGCUAAUAGCUCAUAUUUUCUACCGCUUGAAUCAAAAGAGCUUGGGGGUUUUGCCGUUAGAUAUAGACGAUGUCGGAUUAGCUUGUUGGUUGGGUAAAGGAACACCAAGGCGACGAUCCGUAGCUGAUCUGAGAGGAUGAUCAGCCACACUGGAACUGAGACACGGUCCAGACUCCUACGGGAGGCAGCAGUGGGGAAUAUUGGACAAUGGGCGCAAGCCUGAUCCAGCAAUACCGCGUGAGUGAAGAAGGCCUUCGGGUUGUAAAGCUCUUUUGUUGGGGAAGAAAAGCAGCAGAUUUAUCCGCGGAUGUCUUGACGGUACCUAAAGAGAAAGCACCGGCUAACUUCGUG
rnacentral:rRNA from 1 species